CUUACAAUGCACAUCAUCACCAUAGAAACCUGGCAAGAGCUGGGUAAGAGUCUGUGGGUUCUGCCAAAUGAAUGUUUUGCUGUUAUGAUUCGCAGCGAUCCUAUUAAAUCACAAGGAGUGUUUUUCUGCUGGGCAGCAGAUGCUGUCAUAAAACACGUUCGUCCUCAGAUUCGCACGCAGGCACGCAGCCCUUUGACCAGCCCCACCGUGCGUGUUGACAUAGGCGGGCUGCAAACGCCACCCACAGCUGUGGGCUUGCUGCAGGGACUCCCCUGCAACAGGUGUGUGUUUUAAAGGACCCUGAACCUGGAUUUACAGUGGGGCCAGCUGCUGCCUUUGGGACUGACCAUUUGUCAUCUCUAGAUGGGUCACCCUCCUCAAAGACUGGCUUGUUGGAAAUUCUAUCCUCGCCAUGGGACCCUGUCGUAAUUCUCAUUCUGCUGGCUUCUGCUAGCAUGGAGGGAAGAAGUCGGACGGUUUGCCCAAGCUAUUCUGAAGUACGUCAGUCACGUUGGUGUUCUGUGGUUCAAAAAUAUUAAGCAAGAAAUAUUAAGCGAUUCCAUUGGUGUGUCACAGACUGGACAUCAAGCAAAUACAAGUCAUCCCAUAAAAUACAGAGAGCCUCCAAGGGUUCCAGUUCCCCAUCAUCUCAUGUAUUCCGGUGAGCCUGAUGUUCCUGUGUUCCCAUGGCUACUUUUCUUUAACCCCACGCUGGAAUUGGGAAAUCUGGGGCGGGCAGGGUCCCAUGACUAGGAUCGGGAGUCCCGCCCUAUUUCUUCUGCCCAGCUCAUUGGCUGACCGGCUCUUUUACUAACAAAUCAGAAGUGAUGGAAAACAAUUUUUACAUGACAUUGAGACCAGAGAUGCUUGACCUGGCCUUCAUCUAGACUGCUGCCAGCUGUCUGGGCAUGGGAAUCAGUAUCUGAAAACACAGUGCACAGAACCCAUCCCCCAACGAACUAUAGCUAUAUGAUCUGCUGGCCUUCAUAACCAUACACAUAUACGUAAUGAGACAAACGGCAGCCUGCUAACUACAAGUCACUUCCCAAUGUGAGGUCUUGAGAAAGGUUCUCUUCUAGAGGACUGAACGGUGGAGAAGACAAAUUUCAUGACCAUGAAGAAUCAAGCUUGAUGCCCAUGAAAAGUUGGUCCAAUCAAACUGCAGCCUGCAAGGCAGAGAAAGCUGUAUCUACAGUGUAGUGCUGGUCUGAGGUAAAGUGGAUUCGUACUUAAUUUCCCAGCAGCCUAAUGGGAACUCUCGCCCUUGCACGGAGCCCUAAAUUCUCCAGCUUAUGAGGUGCUAAUGGAGUCUCAGUUUUCUCACCGGGAAGUUGGAUUUCAUGCACAUUCAGGGAGCAGGAAGAGAAGGAAUUUGAAUAUAGUAGCACCCCUUGUCCGUGGUUUCCCUUUCUACGGGUUCGUUUGCCUGCGGGCAAUUGUGGUCUGAAAAUAUUAGGUGGAAAAGAUCUAGGAAAAAAAAAUCAUAAACUUUCAAUUGCAUAUUGUUUUUAGUAACAUACCAAAGCUCGCAGAGCUCUUUUCCCCUGUCUGGAACGUGAUUUACCGUCGUGCCCAGUGGACCCAAGUUGAGGUGGUUACCCACUCAUUAGUAAUCCAGUAGACAUCUUCAAUGAAGUCACAACGAUUAUGUUCCAGAUACCAUUAUUUUACUUAAUAGUGGCCUGGAAUAAAAGUAUUUAUU
rnacentral:sRNA from 1 species